ensembl:lncRNA
UGCAGUGGAAUAAGAGCUGUCGAGCUACUGCAAUGAUGGACAUAUUGCUGGAAACCAACUAAAGAGAACAAUGUGCCAGAGGUAUCCUGUGUAUAACAAGGAAAAAAAAUAUAUAUAUAGAGAGAGAAAUAGAACUCUUUCUUGAACACCGAGAAACAGAGACAGCUUCCCAUCUGCAGCAUCAACCCAUGUGUGGGCUACACAGGUGAAAUGAGUAGCCAAACAUCUUUCAGGCUUUUUUCACACGCUGUUACUUCCAUUUGGAACUUGCCUGCUGUUGCUAGAUCAUCAUUAACACAUAGGGGACAGAGCACUAUAUAUAUAUAUUUAAGAAGGAGAGUUAAGAAGCUUACAGGGAUGGGAAGAACAACAUUUACUGAAGAAGAAGAUGAAAAUCUGUCCUGCAAAAAUCUCAACUGGAAAAAGGACACUUGUUCAGGCUCCUGAUAUCCUAAAUUAGAAGAGCCCUUUUGAAGCCUAAGGAAUUAGGAAUUUGGGGCCAUGUUGACUUGAAAAGACCUUUUCCUACUUCUUUGAAUGUCCUAUCACCAACUCAGGAAAAGUAAAUACCCACACUACCCCCAUGCUCCAUUCAAGUAUGUGAAGUGUAAUUGGAAUAGGCUCAAAUUAAGAGCAGAUGAAAAAUAUAGACCAAGAUGACAGGAUUUUCUUCAUCAGCUUUUUGAUGUUUUUGAGACAUUUUCAAGAUGCAUUAUCUUAGUCAAGAAUUCCUGAUCCCCUCCACUAUGAUGACAAAGUUCAACUUUGAGUCAUUUUAGGAUGUAAUUGCCACAAAGGGAAUGCAAACUGGGAGAGCCGGACUAGGUAUUUAUCAUUGUCCAACUUACUGCAUCUCAAAAACUGCUAAUUUUGACCAACUGGUAUGGGUCCUGGCCAGAGGCCUCUUUCUUUACACAUACCACCCUACAUGUUAGCAGGAGCUUCUCCAGGUAUGAAAUGGCAAACCUAGGCACUGAAGUAAUUUAGGAAAUGCAGAUAAUAACUAGCCAUGUCAUCUUUUCCAAGAAGAAUCUUGUUUCUUUAAAUCUCAAGCUUGUUAUUAAUAACAUUGUGCUAAUUAACCAGUUCUAAAAUGCGCAAAAAAAGGUCAGUUUAUGAAAUAAUUCAUGAAGUAUAAUCAGAAUGAUAGGAAAUAUGGCAGCUGGGCGUUCUGCAUGGUGAUGCCAAGUUACAUUACACAUGUACAUUUCUUCCUCAGUGGCAACUCAAUUCAAGGCUUCAGAAGUUCCAGGUGUUUUGAUAAAAGUCAGGCUAUGACAGGUGAACAUAUUUCAGAAAGAAAGAAAGAUAGCAAAAGGAAAAUAACAUAUUUUUCCUUGCCAUUACUGUAAAUUAUUUACCAUGGAUUUCUUGCCUAGAAUUUCACAGAUAUUAAACAGAAAAGCAUCUUUCCAACAUUACCUAGGUAAUCCAUUUCUGUAGUGAUCUGCUGUGCCUCAGUGAAAAGCCUAAAUAUACUCAGAGUUAUUUGUUUAGUUGCUAGAAAAAUACAUGUGCCAAUAAACACCGGCUUUCAGCUAAGACUAAUGACCA